AUCGCUUCUCGGCCUUUUGGCUAAGAUCAAGUGUAGUACCUUUGGAACCACUUGGUCCUCUGGCUGGCAAGACCAAAGAGGAGUAUCUGUUCUAAUGAUCCUAUCUGAAGAACGGAGAAACCAUU
rfam:Xenopus laevis strain J chromosome 8L, whole genome shotgun sequence.